rnacentral:rRNA from 1 species
GUGAGGAAUAUUGGUCAAUGGGCGGGAGCCUGAACCAGCCAAGUCGCGUGAAGGAAGAAGGAUCUAUGGUUCGUAAACUUCUUUUGCAGGGGAAUAAAGUGCAGGACGUAUCCUGUUUUGUAUGUACCCUGAGAAUAAGGAUCGGCUAACUCCGUGCCAGCAGCCGCGGUAAUACGGAGGAUCCGAGCGUUAUCCGGAUUGAUUGGGUUUAAAGGGUGCGUAGGUGGUUUGAUAAGUCAGCGGUGAAAGUUUGCAGCUUAACUGUAAAAAUGCCGUUGAAACUGUCGGACUUGAGUGUAAAUGAGGUAGGCGGAAUGCGUGGGGUAGCGGUGAAAUGCAUAGAUAUCACGCAGAACUCCGAUUGCGAAGGCAGCUUACUAAGCUACAACUGACACUGAAGCACGAAAGCGUGGGGAUCAAACAGGAUUAGAUACCCUGGUAGUCC